rnacentral:rRNA from 1 species
CGGGCGACGGUUGUCCCGGUUUAAGCGUGUAGGCUGGUUUUCCAGGCAAAUCCGGAAAAUCAAGGCUGAGGCGUGAUGACGAGGCACUACGGUGCUGAAGCAACAAAUGCCCUGCUUCCAGGAAAAGCCUCUAAGCAUCAGGUAACAUCAAAUCGUACCCCAAACCGACACAGGUGGUCAGGUAGAGAAUACCAAGGCGCUUGAGAGAACUCGGGUGAAGGAACUAGGCAAAAUGGUGCCGUAACUUCGGGAGAAGGCACGCUGAUAUGUAGGUGAAGUCCCUCGCGGAUGGAGCUGAAAUCAGUCGAAGAUACCAGCUGGCUGCAACUGUUUAUUAAAAACACAGCACUGUGCAAACACGAAAGUGGACGUAUACGGUGUGACGCCUGCCCGGUGC